ACAAACCGGAUAAGAAGAAGAAAGAAAGAAAGCUGCCAGUUUCAUCUUCCCUCCGUCUCCCCUCCCCCAAAUUCCUCCCUAUUUUUGCCAUUUUCAUCUCUACUAGAAAUUGACUGAUGUAAUCCACAACCCACCUCCUAAGCAAGCCUGACUCAAGAUUUUUUCUUUAUUGUAUCUCCGUCAAUAGAGUUAAAACAAAAGACACGAGAAAGCAGAAAGAAGAAUCAGAGGAUGACGGGAUCCUAAUUUCAGCCCAGAUCCAUUUUCUCGUUCGUCGCCUCCGAAGUUUCAUCGCCCAUUUUCACACUCCAUUUCAUGGAUCUCUCACUACUUUUACCCUCUCACGUUUCUUCACUUGUCUCUCUCAUUUUGUAGAUCAAAUAUUGUCCUCCGCCACCCAACUCAGCCUCUCUCAAAUCCCACUGCUCUCUUCAACAAACCAUGUGAACUCUGUCGUUGUCAUCUUUGAUUGGUAAGUUCCUGUAUUCUUUUUAAAUCUUAAACAUUGCUAUCACAAAUCUAGAUUACACCCAAACUUUGCACUACACUGAAUUUUUGGUCUAGAUUAUAAUGUUUUGAUUUUCUUGGGUUCAUUUGUUGACAUUAUUGGUUUUGGGUUUUGUACAUUGAAGUUGGUUCUGUUUGUACUUUGAAUUUGGUUAUGGUUGCAUAUGUGUCAUUUGUGGACAUUGUGAAUAUCUGAUAGAUCUGUGACUGUGAAUGAACUAAUAUGCUUUGUCUUGAAUGGAUGCUUAAAAGUAGGUGAAUGAACAGAUUGUGCGUGUCAUGAAUGCAUGUGCUUGUCUAAUCUACAUAAAAUGUGGUGAUAUAUCUAUUGCCCGACAACUGUUUGAUCAAAUGAGUGAACGAAACAUAGUUUCAUGGAGUGCACUGAUGGCGGGGUACUUACACAAUGGCUUGGCUUUGGAAGUUCUUGUACUCUUUAAGAAUAUGUUUUCUAUGGACAAUUUGCGUCCCAAUGAAUACAUAUUUGCUAUUGCUCUAGCCUCUUGUUUUGUUAGUGGGAGGAUUGAAGAGGGCAAGCAAUGUCAUGGCUACGUGCUGAAGUUUGGAUUGGAAUUUCACCAGAAUGUGAAGAAUGCACUCAUUCACAUGUAUUCGAGGUGCUCAGAUGUGGAAGGCGCAAUGUGGGUUUUUAAUUCGUUGCCUGGGUAUGAUGUUAGUUUGACCAUAUGAAGAUGGAAGUUUACAAAUGUCUUUUUAAUUAAAUAAUGCUAUAAUGCUAAUUUCUUUAUUUUCCAAAUUUAAUUGAUAUGAAUAGGACCUUCUCUUGGUUUAGCAUUAACUUGGCAUAGGUGGAUGAAAAUUGUUGUGUUUGUAGCAAGAUUACAAGUUGGUCAAGGAAAGCAUAAAGGUGUCUCUUGAGCAUGGAAAUGCUUUGUAUGCAACUUGACCUGAAUGGGACAAAACUAGAGGGUGCGGAUGGGACACAACCGGAGGGUGCGGAUGGGACACAAAUGAGCGCUUAUUGUAGUUCCAGACUUGGUGUUACAGUCUUGUUUUUGAAGUACCUUGAGAAGCUUUGUUGUAAUGCUUGAACUUUGUUAGUAAAGUGGUCCGGACUUGGUAUUAGGGACUUUGUUAAAUUGGGUUGAUUAUUGUUGGUGUCCUUUGGUUAUUGAAGUUCUAGAUUUGGUGUUAUUAGGUAUUUUUGUUGUUAUUUUCUUUAAAAUUUGGCGUAUUUUUGUUGUUUAUUGAAGUUCUAGAUUUGUUAUUAUAGACUUUGUUAUUGACGUUUGAGAGGUUGUGGUCACAAAUAUUUUGGUAAUCGAAGUUACAAUAUUUGUGUUAUUA